UGUGUUUCCAAACUGCUCAAUCAAAAGAAAGGUUCAACUCCGUGAGAUGAACGCACUCAUCACAAAGAAGUUUGUCAGAAUUCUUCUCUCUAGUUUUUAUGUGAAGAUAAAUUCCUUUUCCACCGUAGGCUUCAAAGUGCUCCAAAUGACCAUUUGCAGAUUCUACAAAAAGAGAGUUUCAACACUGCUCAAUCAAAAGAAAGGCUCAAUUCUGCGAGAUGAAUGCACAUAUCACAAAGAACUUUCUCAGAAUUCUUCUGUCUUGUUUUUAUGUGAAGAUAUUUCCUUUUAAACCAUAGGCCUCAAGGCGCUCGAAAUGUCCA
rnacentral:lncRNA from 1 species